GAACGGUGAAGCAGAGCUUGCUCUGUGGAUCAGUGGCGAACGGGUGAGUAACACGUGAGCAACCUGCCCUGGACUCUGGGAUAAGCGCUGGAAACGGCGUCUAAUACUGGAUAUGAGAUGCGAUCGCAUGGUCGUGUUUGGAAAGAUUUUUCGGUCUGGGAUGGGCUCGCGGCCUAUCAGCUUGUUGGUGAGGUAAUGGCUCACCAAGGCGUCGACGGGUAGCCGGCCUGAGAGGGUGACCGGCCACACUGGGACUGAGACACGGCCCAGACUCCUACGGGAGGCAGCAGUGGGGAAUAUUGCACAAUGGGCGAAAGCCUGAUGCAGCAACGCCGCGUGAGGGAUGACGGCCUUCGGGUUGUAAACCUCUUUUGGUAGGGAAGAAGCCUUCGGGUGACGGUACCUGCAGAAAAAGCGCCGGCUAACUACGUGCCAGCAGCCGCGGUAAUACGUAGGGCGCAAGCGUUAUCCGGAAUUAUUGGGCGUAAAGAGCUCGUAGGCGGUCUGUCGCGUCUGCUGUGAAAUCCCGAGGCUCAACCUCGGGCUUGCAGUGGGUACGGGCAGACUAGAGUGCGGUAGGGGAGAUUGGAAUUCCUGGUGUAGCGGUGGAAUGCGCAGAUAUCAGGAGGAACACCGAUGGCGAAGGCAGAUCUCUGGGCCGUUACUGACGCUGAGGAGCGAAAGGGUGGGGAGCAAACAGGCUUAGAUACCCUGGUAGUCCACCCCGUAAACGUUGGGAACUAGUUGUGGGGUCCUUUCCACGGAUUCCGUGACGUAGCUAACGCAUUAAGUUCCCCGCCUGGGGAGUACGGCCGCAAGGCUAAAACUCAAAGGAAUUUGACGGGGAC
rnacentral:rRNA from 1 species